rnacentral:rRNA from 1 species
AUUGAACGCUGGCGGCAUGCCUUACACAUGCAAGUCGAACGGCAGCACGGGAGCAAUCCUGGUGGCGAGUGGCGAACGGGUGAGUAAAGUAUCGGAACGUGCCCAGUCGUGGGGGAUAACGUAGCGAAAGUUACGCUAAUACCGCAUACGAUCUAUGGAUGAAGGCGGGGGAUCGCAAGACCUCGCGCGAUUGGAGCGGCCGAUAUCAGAUUAGGUAGUUGGUGGGGUAAAGGCUCACCAAGCCGACGAUCUGUAGCUGGUCUGAGAGGACGACCGACCACACUGAGACUGAGACACGGCCCAGACUCCUACGGGAGGCAGCAGUGGGGAAUUUUGGACAAUGGGCGAAAGCCUGAUCCAGCCAUGCCGCGUGCAGGAUGAAGGCCUUCGGGUUGUAAACUGCUUUUGUACGGAACGAAAAGGUUUGGCCUAAUAAGCUGAGCUCAUGACGGUACCGUAAGAAUAAGCACCGGCUAACUACGUGCCAGCCGCCGCGGUAA